rnacentral:rRNA from 1 species
UACAGAGGUCUCAAGCGUUGUUCGGAUUCAUUGGGCGUAAAGGGUGCGUAGGCGGCGCGGUAAGUCGGGUGUGAAAUCUCGGGGCUUAACUCCGAAACUGCAUUCGAUACUGCCGUGCUUGGAGGACUGGAGAGGAGACUGGAAUUUACGGUGUAGCGGUGAAAUGCGUAGAUAUCGUAAGGAAGACCAGUGGCGAAGGCGGGUCUCUGGA